CGUUGGGCGCCGGAGUAGGUGUGCUUCCUUAACUUCAGUCUUGUGUCGCUUGACGAUGUCCGCGUAGGAGGGAUGAGCCGUCUGCAAGAAGGUCGCCUCAUCCAGCUCGGACCGACGCGUGUGGAACGGCGGCGGCGGCGGCGGGGUCUCAAACUGGGGCGCGCUUCGAUCUCCCAUGUCGGGGCUGCUCGCAGAGUCAUCUGUGUACGGAGGACCAUUGGAGGUGUGGAGGGCGACGGGGAUAGGAUGGAUCUGCGGGAUGGGCUCGCCGCGGCGGAGGAUCUGGGGCUGCAACGGGACGGCGGGGGCGGAGUCCGCCAUCGCC
rnacentral:lncRNA from 1 species